ensembl:lncRNA
CGCACGGCACGGUCCGGCGCGGCACGGAGGGAGGUUAUCGGGCGCGGGGGGAGGACUGAGGCUGGCAAGGUGAGAGCUCGGAUUGCCGGAGUGCCGGGAGGAAGCUGCCAUUUGUGAGCUGUGAGUGACGAGCGUGUAAUUUCAGCACCACUAAUGGACACUUAUUUUUCAUCAACUGGAGGAAAGAUGGGAAGGCGGAAGGAAACAAAUGAUCAUUACAGGUUAACCAACACAGAAGACAGAAGGAGUAUCAGCAGGGAUGACAUGGAACUAAUGCCACACAGAGAAGCAACCAGUGUGCCCAAAACAUCUUGGCAAAACUGAUGUAUUCCCAGGCUGUGGGGAGAUUACAGUACAAGUUCCUAUGAGAAUAUAUUGCAGACUGUGUGCUAGGAAAGCACCUCCAUUGGGGAAAAUUUGCCUGUGGAACGAGAAAUACAUAAGCAGAAACUGGGAACUGAAGAAAUGUUGUUAAGAUUGCCAGUCAGAAACAAUGUUCAACAUGGAGAGAGCAGGAAGAAGCUUGAUACAGAAAAAGAGAGAGAUCCUGAUGGUCCUUCACGAUCCCUUCUCAGACCUGGAAGAUGUAGAUGUGACUGCAAGAUAUCAUCAUCGUCAUCGUGGUGGUCACUGUCCUCGUCAACGGAACAACGCCCAACAACCCACCUCUACUGAAGAGCAACGACUGAACUAUGAACCACGCUGGACCCAUGGUGGUGACAAUCUCCCUCUUGCUCCCUCUAGAGACUCCUUGCUCCUAUUUCCUAUCUUUUCUACUGCCCUUCUUUCCUUCCCCAUCACCCUAAUUUGUACGUAUGAAGACUCCUUGCUUCUAUUUUCUAUCUUUUCUAUCGCCUUUCUUCCCUUCCCCAUUGCCCCAGUCCAUAAUAGUGUCUGUCCUCCCCUUUCCCCAUCUCCCUUAUUAACAUUUGUAAUAAACUGGUUGGACCAACAUCUGGACCGUUGUUUCUUAAUCUCAUGCUGGGUAUACAUAUUUCAAAGAACCUUCUCUCCCUCCUAUAAAUUGGAGCAAGUCGACCUUACUUUCAGAUAGUUGCACCCUUUUGGGCUUCUGAUCGUUAUAUUCUUUGAUUGAUUACACCUUUAAUCGGUGCAAAUCUGGGCUUACUGAUUAAUGAGGAACUAUACCAGAUAAGCAUGAUUUUCUGUUGGGAUUCAAGGUUACUUGCAUAAGAAAGCUAGUAUUAUUGUAGCACAUAAUGUUUUGGAUUUAUUUUUAUUUAAUUUAUUAUUUUUUGAUCCAUUUUAGCAUUCUAUGAUAAAUCCAUCUAUUAACCUUUGCUGGCAAUAUAAUCCUCUUCAUUUAAUUUCUUAUUUGUUCUUAUUUGUUUUUUAAUUGCAUAAUGAUAAAUAUGUUGAAGUUUUUUGUUUAUGGUGGUGAACAACUGAAAAUUAAUGAUUUUAUAAGAUGUAUGCUACAGUUAAAAGAUUAACUACCUUUAUUUAGGUUAUGUAUUUUAUAUUUUAUUCAGUUUAAUGUUCACAGACCUUGCAAAACUUUCACACUGCCUAGGUAUAUGUGCCUAUAUUUGACUGCUGAUAAAGUGUGGAAUUUCAAUCUGUUAUUGUAACACUUUGAAAUGAAGAGAAAUUUGUGUUAUACUUUUAUUGCUGCUUAAGUUGCUUCCAGAAAAUCUGAUUGAAAGUAUAGAAAAAGCAGCCAUGAAGAGGAAAGCACAAGCAAUCUUCCAUUCUCUAUUUUAUGGCUGACACACAUUACAUCAGAGUCUUUUUUGUGUGAGAGACAGUUUGGAAUAAUGAAUAUCAAUUUCAUGCAUGUUACACACAGGCAAGUCUUACUGCUCGUCAUUUUCCCCACAGUUUUCUUAAAAAUCCGACUGGGUUAUGAAGUCUACUUCAGUUGCCACAUUCUUAGUAUGAAGUAAAAAGGCAUUUUGCCCAAACCUUUCCUGGCAAGAGUUUAAAUUUAGUCAUAUAUUCCUCUGAAAAAGUGAACAAUUGCUUUUAUGGAAAGGGAACUCAGAUGUGCAAGCUGGAAAGCAGCCACUCUGCACUCCUACCAGAUCUCUGACUUGAAUGAUAAGGGGACCAAGCCUGCCACAGAGACACUUACCAAGCAAUUUAGAUGCAGCAUUACUUUCUCAGCUCUGCAUUAAAAGUAGAUAGAUUCUUUUUUGCUUCAUAUAUUCUAACUGCACCUUCUCCAGGGCACUGCACAGAAGUCUGAGGAGCAGUUCGGGUGCCUAAAAUAGGUGUCUGGCAUAUUUUUAGAUACUCUGGAGUACAUAAAACAUUCCCACAGGACUACGAGGUGUGAUACAGGGCUGUACUCCGGUCUUUUAGAGGGGCUAGAAGCCAGACAAAAUCAGAAAGCCAGACAAAAUAUUUUAGAACAAUUCACACAGUAUCAUAGAGUCAUAGUUCUCACUAAACCAUGAGCCUCAACACAACGUCCAAAUGUUCCUUGAACAUCUCCAGGGUCAGUAUAAAGCAUCUUUGUGUAAACUCCAGUAUCUCCUCAUCCAUUUAGAAUUUCAGACGAUGUUUUCUCUCAAGCCACAGUUUUCCUCUCAUAGAUUCAUGAGUUUCUGCUCUUCCCCCUUCUGACUACAUGAACUUGUGAUGUUAGCCAUGGUAGAAAUGAUCAUAUUGUUAAAUUUGGUCACAGUUAUCCCACUGUGAUCAGAAAUCACACAAAGUGUAGGUGGAGCUACAUGAGUUCUUGAAUGGCAAAUAUCAAUUUUCAUGUAAAUUUGUCUAUUGCUAAAUAACGUGAGUGUGUAUAUGGAAGAAGCAGAAAUGCUUGCCAAGGAGAAUAUAGAAAAUAUUUUGUAGGUCUCAUUGCAGUAGAGCGAUUUCUUCUACAGCAGCAUUUCCAUCCCAAGGUGCUCAGUACAUUGCAAUUCAGUCUGAGUUGCAGGUGGUCUGGGCUUACCUUUCUCCCCAUGGUUUUAAAUAGAUUCAUAUUUAUGGAGCUACUCAAAAAAAAAAAAAAAAAAAAAAAAAAAAAAAAGUUUUGCACCUAUAUUCUGUUUCUCUUUGCAAAUGAAGUCCCAGUUUGACUCACUAUAUUUUCCACACAUUUUGUAUAAGUGACACAGAAUAUUUACAAGUGUAGUAACUACAGACUUACUUAUUUUGCAGAACAAUGUCUUUUACAGUCAAUUAAAUAUUUGUUCCACCUUCACCUUCUUUUCAUACAAUGAAACUACCUCUAGGGAGCUAAUUUUAACUUUUCUUAACUGAUAAUUAUACUCGUUCCUGUGUAAACCUUUUGUUACUGCUGCAGUGCAAUUAAUAGUGUGUUCCUACAGAGAUGUUUAGAUACAAGAUGUGGUUUAAAUUCCACUGUCAAUAGGACCAAUUGUAUGACAAUAUCAUCUUCUGAGCAGAGAAGACCAUCUAAGUGUAUAUCCUGGAGGAGUAGGACUAAGAGCUGAUCUUUGUGCAUGUAGAUGGAUGGUUGGACUGGAUAAUCUUGUAGGUCUUUUCCAACCUUGGUGAUUCUAUGAUUCUAUGAUUGUUGCAGUGGUUACCAUUCAUCCUCCUUCGAGGGACACAGCUUGGCCAUUCACUGCAGUGACACCAAUAUGAUGAUCAGCAAAUGGCAAUUUAUUGAACCUCACACACACUUAUAUACCUAUGCCCUUCGUGCACGCCUACUACAGUGUACACGUCGUAGCUCCUCCCAGAGUAGGGGAAGGGUCUAACGCGUCACAACCCGAGAAGCUCGCAUGCGCCUAAUACAACAU